AUCUUUCUUGUUUGAGAGACUUUUCUAGCAGAAGGGACUGUUUUCUUGCGCACGCCAAUAUAGUUUUGUCAGCAACAAUAAAGAAUGAUGCACAUGAUACUGCAACAAAAAAACCAUCAUCUUAUCAAACUGGUAAUCAAAAUGAUAACACAAGUUUAAAGCGGAGAUCACAUAAUAUAUAUACCAGCAGAUAUGAUAAGUGCCUGAGCAGUAUAGUUUAGAUUUGCCUUUGCCCAUGGAAUCAAACGAACUGCGACCAUCUGUGAAUUUUGUAACAUCAGAAAAAUAUUACAGAUAAGUUUCAAAAUUCUGAAGGAUCUAAGAAAUUUACUACUACUUACUGUAGGCACAGUACUGGCCACACAUCCUAUACCAGCUGCCUUGAAUCCAGCGCGCACACCUUCUGCAGCAUAUCACAGAAUAUACUCAUAAAAGAGAAGCAAUCAACAAACUUCUGUUUUUAUUGGCCACCCACAUGUCUCUUAGUUCUGAAGGAAUUCCCAUUGGAAAUUUCAACGUUUCAAAGUGAAAAUAUUUGGCUUAGGUUUUUUAGUUACAAAGUCAUACAAAGUGUCUCUUUCAUUAUUGUCUUCUUUCACUUUUAUUCUUUUUUAUUAUUAUUAUUAUUCUUUGUCUACA